UACGUAGGGUGCAAGCGUUAAUCGGAAUUACUGGGCGUAAAGCGUGCGCAGGCGGUUCGCAAAGAGAGAUGUGAAAUCCCAGGGCUUAAGCUUGGAACUGCAUUUUUUACUGGCGAACUAGAGUAUGUCAGAGGGGGGUAGAAUUCCACGUGUAGCAGUGAAAUGCGUAGAGUUGUGGAGGCAUACCGAUGGCGAAGGCAGCCCCCUGGGAUAAUACUGACGCUCAGGCAUGAAAGCGUGGGGAGCAAACAGG
rnacentral:rRNA from 1 species